GCACUGCUGAAGAGUCCCAUACUAGGACGAAACGGCCGUCCAGUGU
rnacentral:hammerhead_ribozyme from 1 species